ensembl:lncRNA
AAUACUCUGGAGUUGCCGGGGACCCCGCGAGAGCCAGAACCCGAAGCCUAGUCUGAAUAAAAGAUGACGACAGGACCUGGAACUGUAGAAACUGGGAAAAGCAACAUGCGAUCCAGAGUAAUCCGAGCGCCACCAAGGCCUCUGCCUUCACUCUUCCACUGGAUUCGGACUCUCCCGCGCUGCCUGCGGCCAAGGGUGGCUCAGACAGCGCUCCCUUGGCCUGUGCCCUUCCCCCAGCCUUGGCCUGGCGUCUCUGGGUACCUGCUUGCCCUGAGAACGAGGAAAGUAUCCUGCCCAGGGCUAGGCACCCGAGUUUGGGGGCCCGUGCUGAGAUGCCCCGUUGUGUGUUCUCCCACCCCUACUCCAACGACGUCCCCAGCCUCUGAUUUUGGCCACGUGGGGCUGUGGGAAAGCCUGGGAGGCCCCAGGAUUCAUCACCUCCCUCUAGUCUCUUGGCAACAGCCCUGGCCUCCUUCCUCUUCCAAGGUAUAUCCCUCCAACCCUUCUCCUGUCUCUCCUACCCCUCAGCAGUGGCCUCGCUGAGACCUCAGGGCCAGCCAACUCUUUUCCCUGGUACCCUUCCCUCCAGACUGACUCCUCUCUCGAGCAUGACAGAACUUUCUAGGUGGAGAGAGCAAACAUGAUUCAUUGGUUUUUCCCUUGCUCCUCCUUCCCACCCCUUUCUGCUCCAGGACAGCCUUUGGCUUGGUGGCCUGGGUAGUAGCAGGUUGACAGAAGUGUGCAAAAAUGUGUGUUUGUGUAGGAGUGCAAGGGGAUCUCCCUACCCUUACCCACUGUGUAAGACCUCUAUGGCUAGCUUAAAGAAACUAGGAGAAGAGAAAGGCUAGAACUAGAGGCUGGGCUGUGUUUCAGCAGGCCCCAGGAGAUGAGCCCAGUGCGCUGGGAGAGACUAGCGCACCAGGCUGCUGACCCAGGGGUCUGAGCCUCGUCUGCCCAGGUCAGCCAGAGAAACUGAGAUGCUAGUGGCCACGCUAGGCUCCCCCCAGCCGCCCAGUGCUGUGUGGGGUGGGAAUCAGGCUGAACGAACUGUCCAGGAGGAAUUGGGACUGAAACCAGUGGGGAGGACAGUGUAGGAGAAAUUGUUCCUGAGGGGGAUAAGCAAUGCUGUGGGUUCUGGCCCUGAGCCACUGAGUGGGGAAAGUCUUAUGGCCUUAGUUUGGGAUUCACCGAACAGGAGUGUGGUGUGUGUGUGUUUGAGGUGGUGGUGGUGAGAGGAAGCCGUGGUGGGGGAGGGGUGGUUGGCAUCCACCUCACUCAUCACUGUGGCUCCAGUUAACCUUCUCUUUUCCUGGGAAACCUUCAGCUCCCACCCCCUGGAGUCUACGCGCCCCCCUCCGCCCCCUCCUUGCUAGACUCAACGUUUCCUCUGGAACCAAAAGUCUAGUGCCCCUGGAGGCAUCCAGCCCUGGAGCAGGAAUGAGCUCUGUGGUCCUGCAAGGUGGGGGUGCAUUCGCCUGACCCUGCCCCCAGCCACACACAACCCUUAGCCGCCUACGUCUACUCUCCGGCAGAACCAAGUUCUUUGGCUCUCCUGCGUGCGCAGGAGAUGGGGUGCGGGUGCCCUGCCUCCUGGUCCUCCGUGGCCUCCUGAAGCUGAGAUCAAUUUGGGGUGGAGUUGGGGAGGGGUUAAAAAUCUACAAGAACUCGGUAAAGUGACUUGAUGGGGAGGCCGCGGGAAUGUUGGGAGUAAAUGGACUCAAGCUUCAGUUGAGGGCAGGAGGAAAAAGCAGGUAGCUCCUAUAUCUGUGACCAGUACCGGGUGUUCUCUGCCGAAAACGACGGGCUCUUAGGUUUGCGCUUCGGCGUCUUGGGGACGAAACAGGUGCGCCCCGGACUCCUUCCGCUUCGAGGCGAAGAGGGUGCGCGUCCAGGGCCCUCGUUCUGCUCACCCAGGGUCGGUAGCAUGGUCGAGGGAGGGGGGUGGUCUGGCUGGUACGAGACUCCCCUUCACCUGGGAGCGCAGCCAAGGCUGGGUUUGUGAGCGAUUGAGUUCCCGCUGCAUCGUUCGGCUCUAUCUACUCUCGCAGCCCUGUUGAAAUCUACUUUGCAGGUUUGACCCUCCCAUCUCUAUAGACGGCUCAGGAGUGAUUUUCCCCGGAUAUUGACCUUUGCGCAAUAAAGUUGAUUGUCAACAGCCAGAAAGAUUCUUUAGGAAAACGCAUGGAUCAAAAAAAAGAAGAAGAAGAAGAAGAAGAAAUAAGACUGAAGCGAGCCCUGAGCCCUGCGCGCGGCUAAGCACCGCACCCUCGCACUCCCACAAGCCGCCCCAUCCCACCUCCCCACGGACUUAGGAACUGCCAUUGUCUCCUCUUUGCUGCUAAAGAAACUGAGCUUCAGGGAAGUUAAGAACCUUACGUUGAGCCCACUAGCGACAGACCAGGCCUGGAUGGAACCAGGCUAACUUGCUGGAAGUCAGCUUCCAUUUCACACUGGAUUUAGGAGAGAAACCUACUCACUUGGAGGGUAAAUGGAGCUUCUCCCGGGGACAGAGUGGUGCUUCGCGGGUGAUCUGUCCCUGCCAAGGGGGUCAGGAAAGGGUUUUCAAGCAGGCUCCAGCCCGUGGACCACUCGGUUGAGAGGUAGCAAGCAGGUGGGCCAGCAAUUCCCCUUCAAGGCACAGCCUGCUGCUUCCAGGGACGGGAGACAGUAUGCCCCUGCGCUUUCUGUAUUUCAGAGAUGAAUCAGGGGUGCUUGCUGUGUUACGUGUGCCCACAAAAGAAGCUUGGGAUCGUAUCCCUUUUAAAGAGCUUAUUAAAAGAGCACCUGGAUUUGUCAGGGGAAGGGGGGGCAGGGAAAAGGAAAAAAAGCACCUGGGAUAUUUGGGCAUAUUCAUCUUGGAAGCUGGAGCGCAGAUUGGUGGCGGCCAACAGUACGAUUUGCAGCAUUGGAAUAAAGUUUCAUUUCAAACAUUCUGAUACGCUUCCUGUUCUGAUUGGGAAAGACAGUGAUGUGAACACAGUCACGAGAACUUCCCUCUUGGUAAGAAGUCCCAUUUCCUCACGGGAUCCCAGGAAAAUGUCUUCAGGGUAGAGCAGAGAGUUGUCUAAACUCAAUGAACACGAGUUUGGGCAGACUCCGGGAGACGGUGAAGAACAAGGAAGCCUGGCUCGUGGCAGUCCACGGGGUCACAGAGUCCGCACCAUUUAGUGACUGGACAACUGCAGGUUACUAAGGAAAGCAUCUCACCUGUUUCUCCUUUUAAUCUAUCUCCAUGCUCUUUUCGUGGAUUUCAUGAGGAAUCAGGCUUUAUAACUGAUUAUUUUUUUCAUCUAGAAAAGCAUACUAUGCCUUAAGCGUAACCACAACAAACUUACAUAGUAGUGAUGAUAGAGAACCAUUAACUUUCCUGCCAAACUGGUGUGGGUAGCAUUCGACUUCACCUUUUCUUCUUUUUCCGUUUUUUGUUUGUUUGUUUGUUUAUUUCUGUUUUCUCAUGAGGGUGAAGUGAAUUUAAGAAAAUACUCUCCUUAAUGUCUCUCUCUCUCCAUAUACACAUACAAGUUACAUCUCCAUGAGUCUAAGCAUCCAAUAUUUUUAAGGUCAAUGUAGGAAAAAAAAUCAGUGUACCGAGGUAGUCAUUUUUUUCAAAAAUUCAAAACAGAAAAAAUGACAGAUAAUAUUCACAUCCUCAGCUUGCAGGAAGGAACUACCCGUGUGUGUAACUUAUUUGGAAGGAGAUGGUCAGCUUGGGUCAGCCAGUCCUAGGGGAAUAUUGCUAAGUCAAGAUCAGCUGUGCCUACCUGGUGACCCUGCAGGCAUUCUGCGCUUACAGUUUCCUGAAUUUAGAGCUUCCUGGCUUGGGAAGUGGGUCAUCAGUGUUGGGAGGAGGUGGAAGCAUGAGUGUAGCAUGGAAAAUGCAGACAUCCAGGAGGAGGAGGAAGGGUGAUUAUCUUUCUGCUCACCAUGGAGACUUUCUCACUUUUGUAUUUACUUAACACCCACUUACUAAGCAGGUAGGAUGUUCCCAGCAUGGUAUGAGGCACUUGUGGACACAAAGAUUAGUACGUCAUGGGCCCUGGCCUGGAGGAGUUUCUAAGUUUGCAGCAGCGAGGCAAGCAAACAGGGCAUAAUACUCUCUGACAAUGUGAACAAAGAGCUUCGGAAGUUUGAAAGAGAACUGCUUGGGACAGAUGUCCAAUGUAGGUGAUUUCAUUCGGUAUUCAAAAAGUAUGGGAGGUAGGGCAGAGCAAGGAGCGGGAGGAGAGAGGAAUGGGAACUUCAGCUGGAAAGAGGCGCAGAGUAAAGGUAGGGACCAGGGUUCUUAUUUCUCUGGGGGACACUCAGGUUCACUGUUCCCUGGAUUAUUGGGGCUUAUAUAAAGAAGCUGGAGGUUUCUCCCAUAGUUCUUAAGUAGAGUGUGUCUUCUGCCUCCCUGUCAUUUUCAUGGGGGGAGGAGUGGAUUUGAGAUGAUUUUCUUUUUAGUCUAACUGGUGAACCACGUUUAGAUUCCCUUCUGGAGUGAAUAAGUUGAACUCCUUGUCCCUUGGGCAUUUACCUGAAGAUUUAAGACAGAGAGAAGGACACACAGACAUGGACAAGGUUGUAGAAAUACCAGAGGAGAUUAGUAUAAGGAGGAUAGUGACCAAAAAACAAAAAACCCCUGCCAGAAUGAAUUCCUAACUUUGCACAACGCCAGGCACAUAAAGAGAGCUCAGUCCAUUCUGAAUGAAUGAACACUGCAAGUGUAAGGAUGCUGGCUUUUAGUUUGUGUUCAUGAUGGAGACUCUGAAUAUCUUUUGAGGUUUAUCAUUUUAGGUUUUUAAUUGUGAUCUCACAGAGUAAUCACUGGAACAACUAGUUUUGAUAAUAACUUGUUUUUAUUCAUGGUGGAACUAGCCUGUUGAAGUGAAAGCUUUGAGCACAAUAGUUAUUAAACUGUACCCCAUGCCUUGACCUUGGACACUCACUUAUAAGACACUCAAGAACCACAAAUUGAAAACCCACUGUACCAGAGGCUCCACAUCAGCGUUGUCCAAUUUGUUGCUCUCCUUAUUCUCAGCAUGAUGAUUUGACUUAACUGUUCUCUCUGAGCUGGUCUUCCUACCGUCCAGAGUCAUGGUGAACUUUCAUACAACCAAAACUCACUUUUGGCAUAUGUUUUGCUGUUGUUUUCGUCAUUUCAUGUAUGACUUGGACCUUGGCCAAGAUACUUUCAUAGCUGGACUAAAGAAAGGUUAAGAUACCCUCUUCUUCCCAAGGCUUCUGUAUAACUUUUAGAUGACCCAGGGAAUGGCAAUCAUCUGGGUUCUUAAAAGUCAAUAUCUUAAGGCCACUUACUCAGGGAGAGGGCAAAAUCUAGGUUGGAAGAAGGAUUAGUCUAAGAUGCUUUGGUACCCUUCUUUUGCAUCGUUGCUCUGUGUUAACAUUUUCCAACAUAGGCACCAAUUAGGUCUUGGAAACAAGCAUGAAGAAAAGCAUAAAAUGUGAUGAAAACAUGAUCAGCUCCCUCUGAAUUCUACCUUAUGUUUUAGCCGGUCUAUUGGCUCCUUGGCUUGGAGUAAUUUCAAAUUCCCACUGGCUUAGUGGCAAGACAUCUUCUCAUUCUUUUCUAAAUACACUCUUCCUUAAAAAAAAAAAAAAAAAAAAUUCCUCUCCACCAUCUUCUCUCUUGUGAAUUCUCUUUUUAGGAUUCAAAUUGCAAAGAAAUUCAUAAGUGAAAUAGAAUGUAUUUUUGAGCGCUAUGUUCAUUGUUAUUCCUAGCUCAAUGGGGCAGUAGAAUAUUUCAGGGAGGAAGUUUAUAGUUUUUUGUUUUUUUUUUGUUUUUUUUUUUGCUUUGAGUUGAGGAGGCUGUGUUAUGCUUGAUAAUCAUCUCAGUGAUACUGUGUCUUGGUACCCAGUCAGCUGAGGUACAAUACAGGUAUCAUCCAAUCUUGAUUACAUUGCUCAUAAAAAGGCAAAAUUUUGAGGGCUGUGGACCUCUCAGGGCAAGAAGAGUGUCAAACUCUCCUAUUAGCAAUAUCAAAAUAUGAUUCCAGAGAACCCAUGAUAAGAGAUUCAGAUGGGAUUAUAUGACACAAAUGCAAGGAUGGGAAGUCCAAUUUUAGGUCAGUUGCCAGCCCUUGGCAUUCUGGUGGCUCUGUGAAAGUAGAGACUUCACUUUUGAGAUUCUGAGAGGAAAUCAAUAUGUUAUAGUAACCUCUUCCAUCUUGGAGAACGGUGUUCAUAUCUGUAUGCCUACAGAGAGGAAUCUGAGUAAUUAUUACAACUAAUAUAUCAAUUUACUAUUCUCAAUGUGUGCAUUCCUAAGAAAUAACAAGAAAGAAAAUUAUAAAUUUAUAGAUUAAAAAGAUACAAAUCAUUUGAAUUUAAAACUUGAGAUGCUAGUACAUUUCCUUUUGUUUAAAUUAUGGCUGCCUCAAAUGAACCUAUGUCUCACAAACAUAGAGAGCAGACUUGUGAUUGCCAAGGCGGCUGCCUGGGGCCAGGGGCUUCUAUAUUUUAAAAGAAUAUAUAAAGGCAAAUUUAAUUUAGAGAUUUUUGUUUACUGUCUAUAAAAACUACAUUCCCGUGUAGGGACCAGGAGACUUCCAGCCAUAUUGCUUUCUGAGUUACAGUGGAAUUUUGAUGAAACCGUGAGCCGCACUAGUUUUGUGUUGCAGGAUGGUGGCAGGAUGGUGGGUACUGGGGAAAUGAGCACAUUUUCAGUAGGUUUCCCGUAUUUGUCUACAUUUGCUCCUUUUUGUCCUCCUUCUCGACAAGGAUGGUGUUUUAAAAAAUUAAUGCACAUUUAUUAAGAGGGGGCUGAGAAGGGCUGAACGUUUGAAGUUAGAAGGUACAAAUUAUUACACACAGAACGGUCCUACUGUAUAGCACAGGCUUCCCCGGUGGCUUGGUGGUAAAGAAUCGGCCUGCAAUGCGGCCUGCAAUGCGAAAGGCACAGGAGGCUUGGGUUUGAUCUCUGCAUCAGGAAGAUCCCCUGGAAGAGGGCAUGGCAACCCAUUCUGGUAUUCUUGCCUGGAGAAUCCCACAGGCAGAAGAUUCUGGUGGGCUAGAGUCCACAGGGUCACAAAGAAUCCAACACAACUGAAACAACGGAGAACUCCCUGUAUAUAGCACAGGGAACUAUAUCCAGUAUCCCGGGAUAAAUCAUAAUGGGAAACAAUAUAAAAAAAAUGUAUGUACGUGCAAAACUGAGUCACUUUGCUGUCUGGCAGAAAUUAACACAGCAUUGUAAAUCAACUAACCUUCAAUAAAAAAAUAAAUGAAGAAAAAUAAUAAAGUAUGGCUGCCGGUGCUAUCUUUACUUACAUGUCAAGGUCUGUAAUAAUCCUCCAUGGUAGCCAAUGAAAAAUUUCUUCCCAUGCUGCCAACUUGGUGAGCAUAAAUUACUGGGAACUUUAUAUGGAAUAAAUUAUGUUCUUAAGCCUUCUCAGAUGUGCAGCCAGUAGAGAUUUUAAAGCAGAAAACGAAAUGCAAAAUUGAGCUCGAAGGGGCAUUUGUUGUGUUUGGAACCCUCUCCGGAGUAGCUUCGUCCUCUUUAGCUCUGGGAGGGGAUUAAGGGCGCUGCCUUCCAACCCCAGGCUUUCUGAGCCACACGCGGCUCUUCAGAAACCUGCAUGUCGUUUGCUUCUCAGAUUUAAAUAAAGCGAUGUGGACUGUUGCAAUGCUGAUGUGGCAGUGGGCCCUAGGAAAACAAAAUGAAGAACCCUGCUCAAGUGACAGACAGGACAAAGACGGAAAGUGUCAACUGACCCCAAAUGUGCCAUUGCCUGACUUGCGUGCUUUUGUUGAGAACCCUGUGCUGCCAUCUUUUUUGUACGACCACUGUAAGUGCAAUUCAUGGGUACUCUCAAAUCCACCGUGAGUUUAAUUGAUUUGUGGCUUUCCCCACUGCUGACGAUGAAGUGGUGCUUUGGCUGCUGAAAGGUGAGGGGAACUUGAUUUCAAUGCAGAGAUGAGAUGCGAUGCAGCAUUCUGUAAACUGACAGAUGGAAAUUCCGCUUCAGAACUCAUUAUUUGACGUGGAAGAUAAUGGUGAAAAUUUACAUCUUUGAAAGAGUGCAGUGGGUCAAAAUACAAUCAGACCAUUGAAAAGUUAAAUGAAUUGCACUGGGAAAUACAUUUAGAUGGCAGCUUCUAGUUUCCCUGAUGAUCUUUCUGAUAGAUUUUUCUAUGUCAUCUUAAGUUUCCCUCAUUCUCUUUGAGCUUUUAAGGUACCUAACUAGAACUUUGGACGUGUGCAUGUGUGCUAAGUAGCUUCAGACAUGUUUGAUACUUUGUGACCCCUUGGACUGUGGUCCACCAGGCUCCUCUGUUCCUGGGAUUGUCCUGGUAAAAAUACUGGUGGGAUCUCAUGCCCUCCUCAGGAACUAGAAAUUUGGGUCUGUGUAACUCCUGACACAUGAAUGGAAAAUGAUAUUCCUCAUCUAAAGAUACCAGAUAUCUUGAGGAAUUGAUGCUUUCUGGGUCUCCUAUGAAAAGGUUGAAACUACAUGGCUGUAUCUAGUUUAUUAGCAGAAAAUUAAGUUACAAAAUAUCACGUGUUAACUGUAAUUAGUCAAAAAAAUGAAAAAGCUAUGAAAAAAAAAUUUUUUUAGCAAUUUCCUUUCUAAUCAACUCCCCUCCAUGGUUUUCAAAUUGUAUACAUGGAUUCUGUGAUGCUUGUCUUUGAAGAAUGGAACCUAUUUCCCAGAAAUGACAUAGAAUUGCUUUGGAAAUUAGGUAAUAAAAAGCAAUGGUGGCUUCUGAUUUGGGUGCAGGCUUUCUCUCUUUUGGCUCUGGGAAGCCUAACAAAAAGGUCCGCAAGAGUAGGAACUGAAGUCUCUGCCAAGAGCCAGUGAACCACUGAGCCUGCCAACAAGUAGGAGAGUGAACUUGGAGCCAGAUUCUGUAGCUCCAGUCAGUCUUAAGAUGACCUGAGCUCCAGCCAAUAGCUAGACUGCAUCCUCACAAGAGAUCCAGAAGCAAAACCACUUCACUAAGCUGUUCUCAGAUUCCUGAGUCAGAAACUGUGUGAGAUCACAAGUGUUUGUGCAACUUGCCAAGUUUCAGGCUAAUUUUGUACAACAAUAGAUAGCUUGUACAUCACUCAGAAGUAACUUGCACAGUGUCUGGUGCUGUCUAGGAGGCUAAAAAAUAUUUGUGGAGUGCAUGAAUUAAAAUGAAUAAAUGAAAAGUUGAAUUUAGAUUCUUCCUUAGCAUUCCCUAUUACUUAACAACCUUUUAACUAGCUUCAGAGUGUUUCUAGGAAAGGGUCUCUUCAAUUAUUAAAAGUUCAGUCAUUCAACAAAUAUUCAUGGCUGUUACUGUUUGUCAAUGAACAACUCUUCCUCUGUGAAAUAUUGUGAGCCCACUGGAGCAUCUGCCAAGCUUUUAAAAAGAAGUAGUUAUGGAAGCUCUCUCAGUUUAAAGCAGUUGAAAACUAGAUUUGGGGUUGGGGAGACACAAGUCACCAAGAAAAGUGAAGGAUUAGGAGAAGGACAAAAUUUAUCUCUACAUCGACAAACUCAAGGUAUUCAGAGGUGAGAAUGAGACCAUCACCGAAUCAAGGGAUAUAAAUAGUGUGGGACAUUCAACAGUGAGUGUGGACAGUGAGGGGGAGUGUGGCCUCUCAUCCUGUCUGGAGUGUGGUAUGUGCCCUGAGCUGCCUUUUGGGUCAGAUGACCUGGCUCAGAACCUCACCUCUUCCGUUUACCAGUUGUGAGAACUUAAGAGACUCAUUUAAUCCUUUGAAAUCUCAUCCACACAUUAAGCAAGCAGAGUAUGAUGCACGGUUUUAAAACAGAUGAAACUGGUGAAAGGUUUAGUCCACUUCCUGGAAUGUAGUAAAUCCUUUAAAAAUGGUUAUUUCCUCUUCUUAUGAUGAAUGGCCGCUUUCCUGCUCACACGAACCUCCCUAUGAGGUUCUUUACCAUGUGUGACAUGUUGAGAUCAUCUGAAAGUACAGAGUCACAGAGUAUAAUUAGGACACGGUUGGAUUCGUCUGCUGUUCUCGGAGGAGCCUGGUAAGAGGAGAUAAACAGAGCAUGGGCACAUCUGCAGUCUUUAAGGGUGGACACUGUGGAAGAUGCUGAGCACUCAUGCUCCUGUUCUUUCUGCCGCAUGUGGCUUUCUGCUUAGGUGUUCUUUCUUCUUAGGUUCUAGCUUUUGACUGGCUUCUUGAAGAGACCAGAUGCAUUUGGAGGCUCCUCCUGCACCAUCAGUGUGACCUUGAUGGUUGGUCCUGCAUAUCUCUAAGCGGUAACUCUGAGGUCUGCGCUACCUGGGCCAUUGUAGAAAUAGUUCAGCCAGCAGAUUUCAAGGCUGUUUACUGAGAGACAAGUCAAGAAGCUGUUCUCUUACUCACCGCUAGCUGCUUCACCUUGUCUUGGCCGUGCUUGAAAUUGUCUGCGUCUGCCUGCGUAUUCUCUUCUCCUUUUCUCUUUAUCUUGUUAAGUUUGUCACUUGGCCACUUCCUUCUUCUGUUCUCGCCCAUCCCUAUAAUCUGCCUCAGUUUUCCCCCUCUCUCUUCCCCUUCUCUCUCCUCCUACUCCGGGAGGAGAGAAGAAAACCUGGAAUGGGCCUGGAGCGAUGCUGGGUCCUCCCUUUCUUCUCUUCUUACUCAUGUUGUGUGCUGCCGUUGUAGAGGCACUUUGGAAUUUGCCCAGUAAGUGAGUUCCUAGGUAGAUCCCACUAGAAUAUUAUUCAAGCCCUUUGGGACGCAUCUGCAAAUAAGUAUGACGAACAAAUUAAAUGUAACAUCUAAUGAUAUUAAAGCUACAUUUCUGUUCUGUUCACUAUUUUUUUGUUUGUUUUUUUGUUCUGUUCACUUUUGUAUUAAAAUGUGUCUUCCAAGUUUGACUCCCAUUUGUUUUUGAUAUUUAGUAAGAUAAAACACACCUUUUAACUUUUUAAAAGUCCUGGUGGGAGGAAAUAGAAAGCAUAAUCGAGAAAAUUUUGUAGAAUGCCCCCUCCUCGGGGCAGAGAAACUCCAUGGAGCCUUUCCCUAUCUAUAUAUCUCUCUCUCUCCUUGCAACUUAUAAAGAAAAACAUCCUAGAAGAUCUAUGGGAUUCAUAGCUUCUUUUUGCUCUAAAUCCAUUAUCUCAGCAUAGAAAACAUAUUGCAUGGCAACUGUAUCAAAGAGAGUUUAGAGAAACAUGGAAAUUAUUUUAUUUGUAAGGAUAAACUAGAUUAUGCUGCUGUAACAAAUAAGCACUGAAGUGUUAGUAAUUUAACAGAACAAAGGCUUUUCUACAUAUCAGUGGCAGGAUGGCAAGGGGAUUCUGUUCCAUGUACCUACACAGAGCCCAAGAUGAGGGAGGCUCUACUGUCUACUGCUGGACCACCCUGAAUUAAUCCCUGGAGAAGGAAAUGGCUACCCACUCCAGUGUUCUUGCCUGGAGAAUUCCACAGACAGAGGAGUCUGGUGGGUUAUGGUCCAUGCGAUCGUAAAGAAUUGGACACAACUGAGCAACUAAUGCUUUCACUUGAAUUAAUGGCAGCCUCUGUGGCUGCAGCAGGGGAAGAAAGCACUGAAAGGCUUCAGGACCAGAAGUAGCAUUUGGUCUUUCUUCUCAUACCCUGUUGACCAGAACUAGUCAUCUGGCUAAGCAUAACUGCCUAGUCUAGAAAAUAUAGUGUUUUGUGUGGUUGGAAAGCAGCGGAAAGCCAGAUAUUGGUGAGUGCCCAUGUUGUCUCCCACAUUACAAAUGUAAUCCCUUCAGGAAAAGCAAGGGCUAGCAAGGGCUGUGUGCGAGGCCACAAAAUAAGCCAGUGGCAGGGUCAGUACUAGAACUCAGCUCUUUUGGUACCAGCUGUUAUUUCUGCAGUUAUUUUUGCAGUAGUUGCUCCUUCCUCUGUGGGAAAUAAUGGCCACUGAUAGGUGGCGCUAGUGGUAAAGAACCUACCUGCCAACGCAGGAGACGCGGGUUCGAUCCCCGGGUCAGGAAGAUCCCCUGGAGGAGGAGAAUUCCAUGGACAGAGGAGCCUGGUGGAUGACAGUUCCUGGGGUCGUGAAGAUUUGGACAUGACUGAAGCAACAGCACAUAGCGUAUGUAGAGUAAAUCAUGAGGUGUGAGCGGAGAAUGAUGACCUUGCUGUGAUUUUUAAAUUACCCUUUUCUAUCAUAUGCCAGGCAAAGUUUAUUUUCUGGCUGUGGCUUAGAGGAGUUCCAGGCCAUAUCUCACUAGUAGAGAGUUUUCUUUUUUUACUUAAGCAAAAGCUAUUUUUUUUUUCUACACUCAAGUAGUAACAAUAUUCUGUAUGUACUUAGAAACUUCUGAAGUCAUUUUCAAGUAUCUUUUCUCAUGCGCUUUACACAUAAUGUACGAGAAAUAAGGAGGUUGCAUGUCACUGCCUUAAUUUUACAGAUACCCAAGUGUUCUUGCCUGGAGAAUCCCAGGGAUAGGGGAGCCUGGUGGGCUGCCGUCUGUGGGGUCACACAGAGUUGGACACGACUGAAGUGACUUAGCAGCAGUAGCAGCAAGUCAAUGAGAAUAUGCAUACAAGCUCACACAACCAGUUAGUGGUGACCCUGGGACUAAAAUUCAAAGCUGUGAUUUUCACAACUGGUGCUGAAGCACAAGCUGGUUUGCCACCAUUCUUUUUCCUAGCAUUGUGGAUUUCCUGGUGUAAAUUAAAUAGGUUACUUUCUCCAAGCUUCAGCAGCUUUUCCGUGGUAGGAGGAGGAGCAGAAUUUGACUCUUAACCUUGGAUGCUUUUGCUAGAUUCUUAUGUUGAGAAAAAUAUAACACACUUUGACAUCUGGAGGGUGUUACAUUGAGGCUCAACUUAUGUCUCCAAUACUCUUCUGAAACACAAAUUUUUUUUUUGCUCUUUAUGUUUUCCUUAGUUGGGAAUAAUAACAUAACUAAGAUUAAAAGAAUGCCUCUCAUAUUCCAUACACUCUACUCAUGUUUGCUGUUACUUAUUACUCAAUAUUCUGGGAUAAUCAAGAGCAAAGAGGAAUAUGAAACAAGUGGAGUAAACUCAGCUCUACAAUUUCUUUCUAUAUCUACUUUCUAUUCCUUAGAAGCUAUCACAGUACUGAUAGACAGUAUAUGUCCUAUGUAGAAAUUUUGUACAACUGAUACAUCUCCUUGGGCUAAUGGUCACAACUAAUAGAACCUUGGGCUAAUGGUUGCAACUAAUAGAAAUAAUAAUGCUUGCUUCCAGUUGCAGCUAAUAGAACCAGGGUAGAAACUGGCUUGAUCAAAAAAAAGAAUGUAUUACCUUUGGUAAUGGAAAAGAAGAGGGAAAAGCUGAAUGUGCGUAUAAUGCCCCUAGGAAAUUAUUUUUUUAUCUUUCGGAUCUGCUUCGUGUUGAUGCAUUCUCAAGUGGUUUCUUUUCAAGUGGCAGCAAAGAUGGCCACUCGUACCUCAAAGAUUAUAGCUUUGUAAUUUAGCUUUUUUUUUUUUCUCUUGGUAGUUGUUGCAUCAAACAUUUCCAGGUUAAUAACCAUAGGUUUGAUUGGGUCUGAUGCUCAGUGUUGGAAAAGUCACCAUCGUUUAGACUGAUCAGGUCUCAGUUAUCUUUCGCCUGCUGGACCCAGUGGGUGGAAUCAGGUCUAUUUAAACCUUAAGGACUGAGAUACAGAAAAGAGGUGGUAUCUUAACAGAAAAUCCAGCUUCUAUUACAUAAAGAAGGAAUGGAUGCUGGGCAGAGAAAAAUUACAGAUACCUAUUGCAAUUCUCAACUAUAUUCUUGAGUACUCAACAAAUGCAGGAGAGAAAAACAGAUUAUUACCGCCAAGGGUGUUAUUUUAUGUUGAGAGCAAAGACAGCGAGGAUGCUAAGGACAGGUGGAAAAAAUCUGAUAGAUGAAGUCAGAUCUCAAGUUACCUUCUUCUCUUUAACACUACAGUUUCUCAGAGCUUUACACAUGUAAUAUAAGUUGAUAAUAAUUUUUGCAAAUUUUUAAUACAAAAAUAUAUUGGGGGGGGAGGUCUAUAAGCUAUAAAACAAAAUUUUUAAAGUUUGUAAGUGAUUAGUCUUCUCCAGGUAAGUAAACAUGGAGUUGCUGGUCUAUUCUUUAGAUAAGAUCGCUUUUCAAUCCCCAGGCUCCCUGUUAUUCAAUUGAUUUACCUUCCCUGGUGGCUCAGAGGUUAAAGCGUCUGCCUCCAAUGCGGGGAAACCCAGGUUUGAUCCCUGGGUUGGGAAGAUCCCCUGGAGAAGGAAAUGGGAACCCACUCUAAUAUUCUUGCCUGGAGAAUCCCAUGGACAGAGGAGCUUGGCAGGCUACAGUCCACGGGGUCACAAAGAGUCAGACAUGACUGAGUGACUUCACUUUCACUUUCACUUAAUUUGUAAGCAGUGCUGAUCCCAAGUACAACUGCCUUCAGAAGAGGAACCUUAUCUUUGGUGUUUUAACUUUCUAAAAAUGCCAGUUACUGGUGCCCCAAGACUGGAGUGCAGUUAUGGGACAACCAGUUCCUUCUACAAAUCAUGUCCAUUUAUCUCUGUGGGCAGAGUCCAUCAUUUUCAUCUGCUUGUCAUAUCUAGUUUUGGUGGAACUCAUUUGCAACCCUCAUACACAAAAUAUUCCCUAAAUACCAACUAAAUCGAUACAAAUCCAUCAACAGGCUAUGCUUGUAAAUAAACUCUAUCAACUGAUUCUUGUAUAGCACUCCCGCUUCCUAAGUUCUUGCAUGUAAACCCUGUCACUUGAUCAUCAUGAGAGCUCUGGAAGGCAGGAAGGACAGAAAAGAAUAUUACUUUUCUCCUAUCAAAACUAAUGAAACAGAGAUGGAGGGAUCUGCUCAAACUGAUGACUACUGUGAGUUUUUGGAGUCCAGACCUCAGGUUUUUCCCACUACAUCUUGCAUCUGAAUUUGGGUGAAGGCUGUAGUGUUCACUGGAAGGUUCAAGAAAACACUCAGGAGUCAAAUGAACAAGGGUUUUAAGACUGACUGCUGAUUGUAGUUGUAUGACUUUGGGCAAGUUUCUUAAUCAUUUAGCCUCAAAUUAUUCAACUGUAUUGUUUUAACCAUUGCAUACCUCAUAGGACUCUUGUGAUAAAAUAAUACAUGGACAGUGCUUAGCAAAUGCUCUGUAUGUAAAUUCAUGCUUCAAUAUUCUAAGUAUUGUUCUCAUCAUAUAUCUUUAAGUGCUUAUUUAACCUUCAUUCACAAAGAGAAAUAAAGAUUUGAAUCAUUCGUGUGCUUAUGCCUCUAUUAACUACAUCUUUCAGGUAUGGGUAAAACAUGAGAGCAAAUUGCCUGAAUCAGUCUUUACCUCAUCAUGCUUGCAUCUAAUUGCUUGGUCUAUCUUUUUUGCCUUUCUGAUCAUCCACUAUGAAGCGAAGUCUUUGUUAUUUGUACUCAACAGGUUAUAAGGUUAAUACUAUCCUGCAUAUUCUAGGAGAUAUGUAUCAAUUCUGCAAUAUGAUUAAACAAUUUAGACUAAUAGUAAACAACACUACCACCCAUUGGAGUCCUGGUUUUCAGACUAAAUAAACCUCAAAGCAAGUUAUUUUUCCCCUUUUACUUUGUUUUGAGCUUUUCCCAAUUCAGGCUGCAUUAUAGAUUUUCCCAGUGUUUAUUGGAUUAAAGGUAGGCCAAUUAUUUUCACGCAGCCCCAACAUGGUUCUUCUGUAACAUUGGCUUUGAAUAUGACAGCCAAAACAUCCAUUUCUUUUGAGCAGAGCCUCAUCAGUGAGUGAUUUUGUAGAGUCAAUGCAAAGGGAAAUAGGAAGCAUGUUCCUGAAAAGGGGCAGGCUCUCCUGUUGGUCUUGACGCUCUCUUCCAUCUCAGUGUGUCAGAACUGGAGCUCAGCAACAAGGAGCACUGCUGCAUGGCGGAUCCAACUUUCUGCCAAGGGGAGUUUCUAGUGUCAUGGUGGAGGCAGAGCAUCAGCAGGAAAUAAGAGGUGGUGACUAAAAGAGGGGGGCCGUGAGCAUGUGGACGGGAGCACCGAGUGUAGAUUUGGCGUGGGGGAGAUUCUCCAGGACGAUGACAUCCAGGGAGAGGGCUGGAGGAUGAGUGUGAAUCAGCCACAUCAGGAUUUGGUGGGGGAGAAAGGAGGCAACUAUUCUGGGCCAAGAGGAGAUGCAAGGACUGUGAGGAGUGAGGAAACUGAGAGGGAUUAAGGAGCUCAGAAUUUAAGGAGCAAGCCGGCUUCCAUGGUGGCUCAGAGGGUAAAGCAUCUGCCCGCAAUGCAGGAGAGCCAGGUUCAAUCCCAGGGUCAGGAAGAUCCUCUGGAGAAGGGAAUGGCAACCCACUCCAGUAUUCUUGCCUGGAAAAUUCCAUAGACAGAGGAGCUUGGCAAGCUAUGGUCCAUGGGGUCACAGAGUCAGACAUGACUGAGUGACGAUACUUUCACUUUUCACACUGGCAGGAGAGAAGGCAGAAAAAAGGGUAGGGACCAGAAUGAAGAGAGAAUGUAACCUUGGAAAUUUCUCCCAUUCCUACACCCAACCCCA